AAGUCUGGCUAAAGUAAUGCCAUGUUAGUGAGCCUUAAAGAGUGACGUCAUUAAGGCCCCUAAAAGUAGCUACAAUA
rnacentral:snoRNA from 1 species